CACUAUCGUUAACUGAAUACAUAGGUUAACGAGGCGAACCGGGGGAACUGAAACAUCUAAGUACCCCGAGGAAAAGAAAUCAACCGAGAUUCCCCCAGUAGCGGCGAGCGAACGGGGAGCAGCCCAGAGUCUGAAUCAGCUUGUGUGUUAGUGGAACGGUCUGGAAAGUCCGACGGUACAGGGUGAUAGUCCCGUACACCAAAAUGCACAGGCUGUGAACUCGAAGAGUAGGGCGGGACACGUGGUAUCCUGUCUGAAUAUGGGGGGACCAUCCUCCAAGGCUAAAUACUCCUGACUGACCGAUAGUGAACCAGUACCGUGAGGGAAAGGCGAAAAGAACCCCGGCGAGGGGAGUGAAAAAGAACCUGAAACCGUGUACGUACAAGCAGUGGGAGCACCUUCGGGUGUGACUGCGUACCUUUUGUAUAAUGGGUCAGCGACUUAUAUUCUGUAGCAAGGUUAACCGUAUAGGGGAGCCGCAGGGAAACCGAGUCUUAACUGGGCGUUAAGUUGCAGGGUAUAGACCCGAAACCCGGUGAUCUAGCCAUGGGCAGGUUGAAGGUUGGGUAACACUAACUGGAGGACCGAACCGACUAAUGUUGAAAAAUUAGCGGAUGACUUGUGGCUGGGGGUGAAAGGCCAAUCAAACCGGGAGAUAGCUGGUUCUCCCCGAAAGCUAUUUAGGUAGCGCCUCGUGAACUCAUCUUCGGGGGUAGAGCACUGUUUCGGCUAGGGGGUCAUCCCGACUUACCAACCCGAUGCAAACUACGAAUACCGAAGAAUGUUAUCACGGGAGACACACGGCGGGUGCUAACGUCCGUCGUGAAGAGGGAAACAACCCAGACCGCCAGCUAAGGUCCCAAAGUCAUGGUUAAGUGGGAAACGAUGUGGGAAGGCACAGACAGCCAGGAUGUUGGCUUAGAAGCAGCCAUCAUUUAAAGAAAGCGUAAUAGCUCACUGGUCGAGUCGGCCUGCGCGGAAGAUGUAACGGGGCUAAACCAUGCACCGAAGCUGCGGCAGCGACACUAUGUGUUGUUGGGUAGGGGAGCGUUCUGUAAGCCUGCGAAGGUGUGCUGUGAGGCAUGCUGGAGGUAUCAGAAGUGCGAAUGCUGACAUAAGUAACGAUAAAGCGGGUGAAAAGCCCGCUCGCCGGAAGACCAAGGGUUCCUGUCCAACGUUAAUCGGGGCAGGGUGAGUCGACCCCUAAGGCGAGGCCGAAAGGCGUAGUCGAUGGGAAACAGGUUAAUAUUCCUGUACUUGGUGUUACUGCGAAGGGGGGACGGAGAAGGCUAUGUUAGCCGGGCGACGGUUGUCCCGGUUUAAGCAUGUAGGCUGGUUGUCCAGGCAAAUCCGGAUAAUCAAGGCUGAGGUGUGAUGACGAGGCACUACGGUGCUGAAGUAACAAAUGCCCUGCUUCCAGGAAAAGCCUCUAAGCAUCAGGUAACAUUAAAUCGUACCCCAAACCGACACAGGUGGUCAGGUAGAGAAUACCAAGGCGCUUGAGAGAACUCGGGUGAAGGAACUAGGCAAAAUGGUGCCGUAACUUCGGGAGAAGGCACGCUGGUGUGUAGGUGAAGUCCCUGCGGAUGGAGCUGAGACCAGUCGAAGAUACCAGCUGGCUGCAACUGUUUAUUAAAAACACAGCACUGUGCAAACACGAAAGUGGACGUAUACGGUGUGACGCCUGCCCGGUGCCGGAAGGUUAAUUGAUGGGGUUAUCCGUAAGGAGAAGCUCUUGAUCGAAGCCCCGGUAAACGGCGGCCGUAACUAUAACGGUCCUAAGGUAGCGAAAUUCCUUGUCGGGUAAGUUCCGACCUGCACGAAUGGCGUAAUGAUGGCCAGGCUGUCUCCACCCGAGACUCAGUGAAAUUGAACUCGCUGUGAAGAUGCAGUGUACCCGCGGCAAGACGGAAAGACCCCGUGAACCUUUACUAUAGCUUGACACUGAACAUUGAGCCUUGAUGUGUAGGAUAGGUGGGAGGCUUUGAAGCGUGGACGCCAGUCUGCGUGGAGCCAACCUUGAAAUACCACCCUUUAAUGUUUGAUGUUCUAACGUUGGCCCCUUACCGGGGUUGCGGACAGUGUCUGGUGGGUAGUUUGACUGGGGCGGUCUCCUCCCAAAGCGUAACGGAGGAGCACGAAGGUUAGCUAAUCCUGGUCGGACAUCAGGAGGUUAGUGCAAUGGCAUAAGCUAGCUUGACUGCGAGCGUGACGGCGCGAGCAGGUGCGAAAGCAGGUCAUAGUGAUCCGGUGGUUCUGAAUGGAAGGGCCAUCGCUCAACGGAUAAAAGGUACUCCGGGGAUAACAGGCUGAUACCGCCCAAGAGUUCAUAUCGACGGCGGUGUUUGGCACCUCGAUGUCGGCUCAUCACAUCCUGGGGCUGAAGUAGGUCCCAAGGGUAUGGCUGUUCGCCAUUUAAAGUGGUACGCGAGCUGGGUUUAGAACGUCGUGAGACAGUUCGGUCCCUAUCUGCCGUGGGCGCUGGAGAAUUGAGGGGGGCUGCUCCUAGUACGAGAGGACCGGAGUGGACGCAUCACUGGUGUUCGGGUUGUCAUGCCAAUGGCACUGCCCGGUAGCUAAAUGCGGAAGAGAUAAGUGCUGAAAGCAUCUAAGCACGAAACUUGCCCCGAGAUGAGUUCUCCCUGAGACUUUAAGUCUCCUGAAGGAACGUU
rnacentral:rRNA from 1 species